UCUGACUNGAGUGCAGAAGGGGAGAGUGGAAUUCCAUGUGUAGCGGUGAAAUGCGUAGAUAUAUGGAGGANCACCAGUGGCGAAAGCGGCUCUCUGGUCUGUCACUGACGCUGAGGCUCGAAAGCGUGGGUAGCGAACAGGAUUAGAUACCCUGGUAGUNCACGCCGUAAACGAUGAGUGCUAGGUGUUAGGCCCUUUCCGGGGCUUAGUGCCGGAGCUAACGCAAUAAGCACUCCGCCUGGGGAGUACGACCGCAAGGUUGAAACUCAAAGGAAUUGACGGGGGCCCGCACAAGCGGUGGAGCAUGUGGUUUAAUUCGAAGCAACGCGAAGAACCUUACCAGGUCUUGACAUCCCGAUGCUAUUCUUAGAGAUAGGAAGUUACUUCGGUACAUCGGAGACAGGUGGUGCAUGGUUGUCGUCAGCUCGUGUCGUGAGAUGUUGGGUUAAGUCCCGCAACGAGCGCAACCCUUAUUGUUAGUUGCCAUCAUUAAGUUGGGCACUCUAGCGAGACUGCCGGUAAUAAACCGGAGGAAGGUGGGGAUGACGUCAAAUCAUCAUGCCCCUUAUGACCUGGGCUACACACGUGCUACAAUGGUCGGUACAACGAGUUGCGAGCCGGUGACGGCAAGCUAAUCUCUGAAAGCCGAUCUCAGUUCGGAUUGGAGGCUGCAACUCGCCUCCGUGAAGUCGGAAUCGCUAGUAAUCGCGGAUCAGCACGCCGCGGUGAAUACGUUCCCGGGCCUUGUACACACCGCCCGUCACACCACGAGAGUUUGUAACACCCGAAGUCGG
rnacentral:rRNA from 1 species